rnacentral:rRNA from 1 species
UACCCUGGUAGUCCACGCCGUAAACGAUGAGUGCUAAGUGUUGGAGGGUUUCCGCCCUUCAGUGCUGCAGCUAACGCAUUAAGCACUCCGCCUGGGGAGUACGACCGCAAGGUUGAAACUCAAAGGAAUUGACGGGGGCCCGCACAAGCGGUGGAGCAUGUGGUUUAAUUCGAAGCAACGCGAAGAACCUUACCAGGUCUUGACAUCCUUUGACCACUCUAGAGAUAGAGCUUCCCCUUCGGGGGCAAAGUGACAGGUGGUGCAUGGUUGUCGUCAGCUCGUGUCGUGAGAUGUUGGGUUAAGUCCCGCAACGAGCGCAACCCUUAUUGUUAGUUGCCAUCAUUCAGUUGGGCACUCUAGCAAGACUGCCGGUGACAAACCGGAGGAAGGUGGGGAUGACGUCAAAUCAUCAUGCCCCUUAUGACCUGGGCUACACACGUGCUACAAUGGGAAGUACAACGAGUUGCGAAGUCGCGAGGCUAAGCUAAUCUCUUAAAGCUUCUCUCAGUUCGGAUUGCAGGCUGCAACUCGCCUGCAUGAAGCCGGAAUCGCUG